CACCAGCCCCUCGAGUGGUGGGGAUGAUUAUUUGGCCUAAAGCGUCCGUAGCCGGCCGGGUAAGUCUCCCGUUAAAUCCAGCGUCUCAAGCGUUGGACUGCGGGAGAUACUGCCUGGCUAGAGAGUGGGAGAGGUGUACGGUAUUCUGGGGGUAGGGGCGAAAUCCUUUGAUCCCCGGAGGACCACCAGUGGCGAAGGCUGUACACUAGAACAUGUCUGACGGUCAGGGACGAAAGCUGGGGUAGCGAACCGGAUUAGAUACCCGGGUAGUCCCAGCCGUAAACGGUGCAUGCUAGGUGUUGGGUUGGCCACGAGCCACCCCAGUGCCGCAGGGAAGCCGUUAAGCAUGCCGCCUGGGAAGUACGAUCGCAAGAUUGAAACUUAAAGGAAUUGGCGAGGGAGCACCACCAGGCGUGAAGCCUGCGGUUU
rnacentral:rRNA from 1 species